rnacentral:rRNA from 1 species
GUGCCAGCCGCCGCGGUAAUACAGAGGUCCCAAGCGUUGUUCGGAUUCACUGGGCGUAAAGGGUGCGUAGGUGGUGGGGUAAGUCGGAUGUGAAAGCUCGGAGCUCAACUCCGAAAUGGCAUUGGAAACUACCCUGCUAGAGGAUUGGAGGGGGGACUGGAAUACUUGGUGUAGCAGUGAAAUGCGUAGAUAUCAAGUGGAACACCAGUGGCGAAGGCGAGUCCCUGGACAAUACCUGACACUGAGGCACGAAAGCUAGGGGAGCAAACAGGAUUAGAAACCCGCGUAGUCC